ACUGACUCAUGUACCUGUGUAUUUAACGGGAAGCCUUAUUACCUGGCAUUUGCUAGUCAAAAUAUAUUCAUAAUAAGUGCAACGCUAAAGCAACAUCUGAGUAAGAAUAGCCCACCUACAAUAAGCUAAGCUGACGUAAGACGGUAAAAUCCCAAUAACGCCCCAUUGUAAUGUAAACCAUGACAAACUGCCAAUCGAGCAGUCGGAAAUUUCUCGUUAAGACCAAAAUAGAAAUUAUGUCAUACAAAAACUUGCAAGUAUAAAAGAACCACACCUAACGUACACAAACAUUCAUUAAAUAUAUUGUGUCCUAAUAACUGACCAAAGUUCUUGAAAAUGUCUUACUUUAGUGUACCAAAAUGUGUUGACUGUGAACAGCGUCAUGCAACUGCAGAAUAUACAAAUGGUUCAUACUGCACAGAAUGUGCAGAAUUUCAACCAAAAAAAGGAUCCUGGGAAAGAAAUUACCGUGAAAUAAAGGAUAAUAAUUUUAGAAGUCCCUUCCCAGGUGAAGUAGUAUAUUGGUGUGAUUGCUGUAAACUUGGGGCUACAUCACUAAAUGGUGUCACUACACUAUUCUACAACUGUAGUCACAAAUUCCAAUUUUGCCUUCAAUGUGCUACAAAACACAAAGUAUGCCCCAAGGAUCCUGGAUUUGGAUUGAGUCAAGAAGGCUUAAGUCAACUACGCCAAGUUCUGUUAAAGAGAUAACAGUAAGGCAUUAUUGCCAGAAAACUCAUUGGAUUUUUUGGUUUUGCUUCUAUGAGAGCAUACAUAUAAAUUAAAAGUUGUUAGUAUUAACAGUUAAUUAAAUUGAGUGACAAAGAUUAAUUACUUGCUUAGUACAUAUUUUAGUACAUAUUUUUAGUACAUUGUAAUAUCAAUAUUAUUAUUAUUAUUAUUAAAAAAAUUAUGAUUUGAAAAGGCUACCAAGCUGCCAAC